rnacentral:tRNA from 4 species
CGCGGGGUGGAGCAGUUGGUAGCUCGUCGGGCUCAUAACCCGAAGGCCGUCGGUUCGAGUCCGGCCCCCGCUACAA